rnacentral:rRNA from 1 species
UGGGGAAUAUUGCGCAAUGGAGGAAACUCUGACGCAGCAACGCCGCGUGGGUGAUGAAGGCUUUCGGGUCGUAAAGCCCUGUCAGCGGGGAAGAAACUCUGAGAUUCUAAUAGGUUCUCAGAUUGACGGUACCCGCGGAGGAAGCAACGGCUAACUCCGUGCCAGCAGCCGCGGUAAAACGGAGGUUGCAAGCGUUGUUCGGAAUUACUGGGCGUAAAGCGCGUGCAGGUGGUCUUUUAAGUUUCGUGUGAAAUCCCUCGGCUUAACCGAGGAACUGCGCGGAAUACUGAAAGACUUGAAUACGGGAGAAGAGGGCGGAAUUCCCAGUGUAGAGGUGAAAUUCGUAGAUAUUGGGAGGAACACCGGCGGCGAAAGCGGCUCUCUAGACCGAUAUUGACGCUCAUACGCGAAAGCGUGGGUAGCAAACAGG